rnacentral:rRNA from 1 species
GUUUCCUUCGGGGACAAUGGAUACAGGUGGUGCAUGGUUGUCGUCAGCUCGUGUCGUGAGAUGUUGGGUUAAGUCCCGCAACGAGCGCAACCCCUGUCGUUAGUUGCCAGCAGUAAGAUGGGGACUCUAACGAGACUGCCAGUGACAAACUGGAGGAAGGUGGGGAUGACGUCAAAUCAUCAUGCCCCUUAUGACCUGGGCUACACACGUGCUACAAUGGUUGGUACAAAGAGAAGCGAAGCGGUGACGUGGAGCAAACCUCAUAAAGCCAAUCUCAGUUCGGAUUGUAGGCUGCAACUCGCCUACAUGAAGUUGGAAUCGCUAGUAAUCGCGAAUCAGAAUGUCGCGGUGAAUACGUUCCCGGGUCUUGUACACACCGAAAA